CAGUCGCCACGGGAAUACAGAGGGUGCAAGAGUUAAUCGGAAUUACUGGGCGUAAAGCGCGCGUAGGUGGUUUGUUAAGUUGGAUGUGAAAUCCCCGGGCUCAACCUGGGAACUGCAUCCAAAACUGGCAAGCUAGAGUAUGGUAGAGGGUGGUGGAAUUUCCUGUGUAGCGGUGAAAUGCGUAGAUAUAGGAAGGAACACCAGUGGCGAAGGCGACCACCUGGACUGAUACUGACACUGAGGUGCGAAAGCGUGGGGAGCAAACAGGAUUAGAUACCCGCGUAGUCCCUGUCUCUUAUAA
rnacentral:rRNA from 1 species